CGCGUACCCAUCCCGAACACGACCGUUAAGCCCUCCAGCGCCGAUGGUACUUGGACCGCAGGGUCCUGGGAGAGUAGGACGCUGCCAAGC
rnacentral:rRNA from 1 species